rnacentral:rRNA from 1 species
UUGGGUAGGGGAGCGUUCUGUAAGCCUGUGAAGGUGGCCUGUGAGGGUUGCUGGAGGUAUCAGAAGUGCGAAUGCUGACAUAAGUAACGAUAAAGCGGGUGAAAAGCCCGCUCGCCGGAAGACCAAGGGUUCCUGUCCAACGUUAAUCGGGGCAGGGUGAGUCGACCCCUAAGGCGAGGCCGAAAGGCGUAGUCGAUGGGAAACGGGUUAAUAUUCCCGUACUUGGUGUUACUGCGAAGGGGGGACGGAGAAGGCUAUGUUGGCCGGGCGACGGUUGUCCCGGUUUAAGCGUGUAGGUGUGUGUUCCAGGUAAAUCCGGUUCACUUUAACACUGAGGCGUGAUGACGAGGC